UUAGAUGUUCUGGGCCGCACGCGCGCUACACUGAUGCAUUCAACGAGCCUAUCCUUGGCCGACAGGUCCGGGUAAUCUUUGAAUCUGCAUCGUGACGGGGAUAGAUUAUUGCAAUUAUUAAUCUUCAACGAGGAAUGCCUAGUAGGCGCAAGUCAUCAGCUUGCGUCGAUUACGUCCCUGCCCUUU
rnacentral:rRNA from 1 species